rnacentral:rRNA from 1 species
CGCCAUGCGCAGCUACACAUGCAGUCGAGCGAGACCUUCGGGUCUAGCGGCGGACGGGUUAGUAACGCGUGGGAACGUGCCCUUCUCUGCGGAAUAGCCACUGGAAACGGUGAGUAAUACCGCAUACGCCCUUCGGGGGAAAGAUUUAUCGGAGAAGGAUCGGCCCGCGUUAGAUUAGAUAGUUGGUGGGGUAACGGCCUACCAAGUCUACGAUCUAUAGCUGGUUUUAGAGGAUGAUCAGCAACACUGGGACUGAGACACGGCCCAGACUCCUACGGGAGGCAGCAGUGGGGAAUCUUAGACAAUGGGCGCAAGCCUGAUCUAGCCAUGCCGCGUGUGUGAUGAAGGUCUUAGGAUCGUAAAGCACUUUCGCCAGGGAUGAUAAUGACAGUACCUGGUAAAGAAACCCCGGCUAACUCCGUGCCAGCAGCCGCGGUAAUACGGAGGGGGUUAGCGUUGUUCGGAAUUACUGGGCGUAAAGCGCGCGUAGGCGGAUUGGAAAGUUGGGGGUGAAAUCCCGGGGCUCAACCCCGGAACUGCCUCCAAAACUAUCAGUCUAGAGUUCGAGAGAGGUGAGUGGAAUUCCAAGUGUAGAGGUGAAAUUCGUAGAUAUUUGGAGGAACACCAGUGGCGAAGGCGGCUCACUGGCUCGAUACUGACGCUGAGGUGCGAAAGUGUGGGGAGCAAACAGGAUUAGAUACCCCGGUUAGUCCAAA